UACGAAGGGGGGCUAGCGUUGCUCGGAUUGACUGGGCGUAAAGGGCGCGUAGGCGGUUCGUACAGUCAGACGUGAAAUUCCUGGGCUCAACCUGGGGGCUGCGUUUGAUACGUGCGGACUUGAGUGCGGAAGAGGGUCGUGGAAUUCCCAGUGUAGAGGUGAAUUCGUAGAUAUUGGGAAGAACACCGGUGGCGAAGGCGGCGACCUGGUCCGAUACUGACGCUGAGGCGCGAAAGCGUGGGGAGCAAACAGG
rnacentral:rRNA from 1 species